rnacentral:rRNA from 1 species
ACGGGGGGGGCAAGCGUUGUUCGGAAUUACUGGGCGUAAAGGGCUCGUAGGCGGCCAGCCAAGUCGGACGUGAAAUCCCUCGGCUCAACCGGGGAACUGCAUCCGAUACUGGUUGGCUUGAAGCCGGGAGAGGGAUGCGGAAUUCCAGGUGUAGCGGUGAAAUGCGUAGAUAUCUGGAGGAACACCGGUGGCGAAGGCGGCAUCCUGGACCGGUCUUGACGCUGAGGAGCGAAAGCCAGGGGAGCGAACGGG